GCUGGCAAUUAUAGAAACAAGGCGCACCGCUCGCACGGAAAACUUUACAGAGAAAAUGAAGAGCUUUAGAAAUGGCUGGAUGGAUACUGGUUUUAAAGGUUUUUAUAUAAUGAACUCUGUCAGUGGCGGUAAAUAUGCAAUUAUUGCGAGUCGUGUCAAGCCUUAUAGGGUCACAGAGAGCUGAAGUGUAUCCUAGAAAACACUACUGAAAGACUGAAUCCGACCCCUGAUGGGAUGUUAAUCACAAGACACUUUUGCACCAGCCACAUUAUUGCACCUAGUCAACCUAACAUUUUUUUGGAUGUAGGGAACAAACCCAUAUAAUCUCUGGGUGAGCUCACCAUCUUCAUGCAGAAGGCACCCAUGAGAGGAAUCUAAUAAAGGUGAAAGUGCUGUGAA